UACGGAGGGUGCAAGCGUUAUCCGGAUUCACUGGGUUUAAAGGGUGCGUAGGCGGGCAGGUAAGUCAGUGGUGAAAUCUCCGGGCUUAACCCGGAAACUGCCGUUGAUACUAUUUGUCUUGAAUAUUGUGGAGGUAAGCGGAAUAUGUCAUGUAGCGGUGAAAUGCUUAGAUAUGACAUAGAACACCAAUUGCGAAGGCAGCUGGCUACACAAUUAUUGACACUGAGGCUCGAAAGCGUGGGGAUCAAACAGG
rnacentral:rRNA from 1 species